rnacentral:rRNA from 1 species
GGGGAAUAUUGCACAAUGGAGGAAACUCUGAUGCAGCAACGCCGCGUGAGUGAUGAAGGUCUUCGGAUUGUAAAACUCUGUCUUAUGGGACGAUAAUGACGGUACCAUAGGAGGAAGCCACGGCUAACUACGUGCCAGCAGCCGCGGUAAUACGUAGGUGGCAAGCGUUGUCCGGAAUUACUGGGCGUAAAGGGUGCGCAGGCGGACAUUUAAGUGAGAUGUGAAAGACCCGGGCUUAACUUGGGCAGUGCAUUUCAAACUGGAUGUCUAGAGUGCAGGAGAGGAAAGCAGAAUUCCUAGUGUAGCGGUGAAAUGCGUAGAGAUUAGGAAGAAUACCAGUGGCGAAGGCGGCUUUCUGGACUGUAACUGACGCUGAGGCAUGAAAGCGUGGGGAGCAAAC